GAGUUUGAUCCUGGCUCAGGACGAACGCUGGCGGCGUGCCUAAUACAUGCAAGUCGAACGAACGGAUAAAGAGCUUGCUCUUUUGAAGUUAGUGGCGGACGGGUGAGUAACACGUGGGUAACCUGCCUCACAGCUGGGGAUAACAUCGAGAAAUCGAUGCUAAUACCGAAUGUGCUGAACAUCAUAAGAUGUUCAAGUGAAAGACGGUUUCGGCUGUCACUGUGAGAUGGACCCGCGCUGGAUUAGCUAGUUGGUAAGGUAAUGGCUUACCAAGGCGACGAUCCAUAGCCGACCUGAGAGGGUGAUCGGCCACAUUGGGACUGAGACACGGCCCAAACUCCUACGGGAGGCAGCAGUAGGGAAUCUUCGGCAAUGGACGAAAGUCUGACCGAGCAACGCCGCGUGAGCGAAGAAGGCCUUC
rnacentral:rRNA from 1 species